rnacentral:lncRNA from 1 species
GUAGGGACGAGUGGGGGCAGCUGCCCCCAGUGAACUUUUAUUUUUGUUGAACUGGUCUCCGUUUUGCCCCCACAAUCAAUAUCCAAGAUUCCAAAUACUUGUUCUCCUCCUUCCUCCGAUCUAAUUCCCUCUGCAUGCUGGCUUUUCUGGCAUCCCUUGUUUAAGUGACCCCCUGAUUUGGAUUUUGUAUCCACUGAUCUACACCUCCAUCUACUUCUCAUACCUUGAUUCCGGAUCGAUCAGGCUCUGAAGUACAAAGGUUGCUGGGGUGGGAAAGAGAAGAAGAGGGAUUCAAGAUUGUGGUGGACUUCGGGGGGAGGAUUUGGGUUUGUUUCCGGAGAGGUGGAUUCGAAAAUUUUGAUCUAGUUUGGGGGAUAGUUUUCAGCAGGAAAAGAGGUGUGUUUGGUUUGGGUUUGUAUGGAUUAGCUGCUGCUUUGACAACUAUGAUGUUCCUCAGGGACAGUUGUGUGAAUUUCAAGUCCAUCUGUAUAGCAGCAGAGUAUUCAUGGGGGCUGUUUUUUUAUAUCUAUUUGAUGAUGCUAGUGAUACAUCAGAUGAUAGAUAGAUGGUCUAUCAUGAUAAGGUAGUACAUGCCCCUGGUUCGUCAUGUCAAAAGCAUGGGAAUGGUCCUCUGGUUGGGGUGAAAAGAUUUAUUUCUCUUGUUGGCGGGUGAUAUCUACAAUAUAGCAGUAUAUGUUUAGGUGCUUUAUUCACAAUUCAUGUAGUAAAUGAAAAUCUAUCAAUCUAUUUGAUAUAAAAUAUAGCGAUUGAAGUU